CUGCAGUCCGCAUGCCAGAUCUGUCGCCUCCCUACCACCGUGCCCCUACCGACCUCGCCCUCCUCCCCAGCACGACCCUACCACUGCCUCCUCCUGACCGCGCACCUGCCACCGCCUCCUCCCGACCACGUCGCUAAGCGAGCGUCCCCGCCGUCGCCGAGUGUUGGGUCCAACCCGGACUCGUCCAGUCCGCUCACGCCUCGCCUCGGCGUCGUCCUCCCGCCGCAUCGCCACGCCGACGCACGCGUUCGCAGCGACGUCCGCCUCGGCGCAGACCUCGCGCACUGUCUACAGCACACGCUCAAGGUAGCCAUCAGCGCCGACCAGAGCCGCCUCGCGUUGCUCGGGGUCGCCUGCGACAUCGGCGAAAACCCCGGCCUGCUCCCAGGGUGCUCUUCAACCGCCUCCAGCCCGCACUGCUACUCCUCAUCGACGUCGACGCGUGUCUGCUCGGUGUGGCACCUCAUUGUCUCCGAUGUCGUGCCUGCGCUGCCUUACUGA
rnacentral:misc_RNA from 1 species